GACGAACGCUGGCGGCGUGCCUAAUACAUGCAAGUAGAACGCACAGUUUAUACCGUAGCUUGCUACACCAUAGACUGUGAGUUGCGAACGGGUGAGUAACGCGUAGGUAACCUGCCUGGUAGCGGGGGAUAACUAUUGGAAACGAUAGCUAAUACCGCAUAAUAUUGUUUAUUGCAUGAUAAUUAAUUGAAAGGUGCAAUUGCACCACUACCAGAUGGACCUGCGUUGUAUUAGUUAGUAGGUGAGGUAACGGCUCACCUAGGCGACGAUACAUAGCCGACAUGAGAGGGUGAGCGGCCACACUGGGACUGAGACAGGGCCCAGACGCCUACGGGAGGCAGCAGUAGGGAAUCUUCGGCAAUGGACGAAAGUCUGAGCGAGCAACGCCGCGGGAGUGAAGAAGGUUUUCGGAUCGUAAAGCUCGGUUGUAAGAGAAGAACGGGUGUGAGAGUGGAAAGUUCACACUGUGACGGUAUCUUACCAGAAAGGGACGGCUAACUACGUG
rnacentral:rRNA from 1 species